rnacentral:misc_RNA from 1 species
AACGGUCUAUACCUGCGGUACCUGCGGAGGGAUCAUUACCGAGUGAGGGCCCUCUGGGUCCAACCUCCCACCCGUGUUUAUCGUACCUUGUUGCUUCGGCGGGCCCGCCGCAAGGCCGCCGGGGGGCUUCCGCCCCCGGGCCCGCGCCCGCCGAAGACACCUGUGAACGCUGUAUGAAGAUUGCAGUCUGAGCGAAAAGCUAAAUUUAUUAAAACUUUUAACAAUGGAUCUCUAGAUCGG